rnacentral:lncRNA from 1 species
GUAAUAUUAAUAUCUGUUUUGUUCUCACAGUUACAAGAGAGUUGGAAAAUAAAUUAGGGUUAUUUUUCUCUUUUUUUUGUUUUUAACUUCCACAGAGCGACCAAGCUGAGAGUGCCAGAAGUUGGGCAUUUUGUGCCCUCAGGGGGAAAUUACCACUUUUAUGUUUUGGAAAAUAUAAAUUCACUGAGGGAAUGGAUUGCCUAAAAGGGAAUAGGUCUCAGAACACCAGAAAAAGGAGAUGUGGUUUGACCCGGAAAGGAGAGAACCAGAUUUCCUCACUCCUAUUCAAGCCAAUUACAGUAACAGAGGUGAAUAUUUUCGUGAGAUCUCAGAUGCCAAUAUCCAGAAGUACGCGGCUGGCUCCAGUAUUUUUAAAAACGCACUUAAACCACAUCUUAGAAUUGGGCAACGAAAAGAAGACAUCAUUGGAUACUAUAUCUGACCUUUGCUUUUGCUACCAGCAACAUAAAGUAAUACCAUUUACUGCACAGGUCAAAUCGAAAAAUCAUGUGAAGAUGACAUGGCCCUUUUUUCUCGAGAGCUACCAGUCACACUUCCUAAAUCUUCAUACCCAAGGAGGGUGACCUUCACAGACUACAUGGUUCUCCAGCCAAAUAUAUGCACUUUCCCACUGGAUCCACCAAACAAAUAAAUAAUGGUAAAGCAAGAAAAUUCAAUAUCUUAACUACAAUAAAGUCAUCC